rnacentral:rRNA from 1 species
CAGGACGAACGCUGGCGGCGUGCCUAACACAUGCAAGUCGAGCGAGGAGAUCCUUCGGGAUGAUCCUAGCGGCGGACGGGUGAGUAACACGUGGGCAACCUGCCUCAUAGAGAGGAAUAGCCUUCCGAAAGGGAGAUUAAUACCUCAUAACAUUGCAGUUUCGCAUGGAACAGCAAUUAAAGGAGUAAUCCGCUAUGAGAUGGGCCCGCGGCGCAUUAGCUAGUUGGUGAGGUAACGGCUCACCAAGGCGACGAUGCGUAGCCGACCUGAGAGGGUGAUCGGCCACAUUGGGACUGAGACACGGCCCAGACUCCUACGGGAGGCAGCAGUGGGGAAUAUUGCACAAUGGGGGAAACCCUGAUGCAGCCAACGCCGCGUGAGUGAUGACGGCCUUCGGGUUGUAAAGCUCUGUCUUCAGGGACGAUAAUGACGGUACCUGAGGAGGAAGCCACGGCUAACUACGUGCCAGCAGCAGC